CCUACGGGCGGCAGCAGUGAGGAAUAUUGGUCAAUGGGCGCGAGCCUGAACCAGCCAAGUAGCGUGAAGGAUGACGGCCCUACGGGUGGUAAACUGCGUUUAUAAAGGAAUAAAGUGAGGCACGUGUGCCUUUUUGUAUGUACUUUAUGAAUAAGGAUGGGCUAACUCCGGGCCAGCAGCCGCGGUAAAACGGAGGAUCCGAUCGUUAGCCGGAUUGAUUGGGUUUAAAGGGAGCGUAGAUGGGUUGUUAAGUCAGUUGUGAAAGUUUGCGGCUCAACCGUAAAAUUGCAAUUGAUACUGGCAGCCUUGAGUACAGUUGAGGUAGGCGGAAUUCGUGGUGUAGCGGUGAAAUGCUUAGAUAUCACGAAGAACUCCGAUUGCGAAGGCAGCUUACUAAACUGCCACUGACAUUGAUGCUCGAAAGUGUGGGUAUCAAACAGGAUUAGAUACCCUAGUAGUC
rnacentral:rRNA from 1 species